rnacentral:rRNA from 1 species
UGGGGAAUUUUGGACAAUGGGGGAAACCCUGAUCCAGCCAUCCCGCGUGUGCGAUGAAGGCCUUCGGGUUGUAAAGCACUUUUGGCAGGAAAGAAACGUCAUGGGUUAAUACCCCGUGAAACUGACGGUACCUGCAGAAUAAGCACCGGCUAACUACGUGCCAGCAGCCGCGGUAAUACGUAGGGUGCAAGCGUUAAUCGGAAUUACUGGGCGUAAAGCGUGCGCAGGCGGUUCGGAAAGAAAGAUGUGAAAUCCCAGAGCUCAACUUUGGAACUGCAUUUUUAACUACCGGGCUGGAGUGUGUCGGAGGGAGGUGGAAUUCCGCGUGUAGCAGUGAAAUGCGUAGAUAUGCGGAGGAACACCGAUGGCGAAGGAAGCCUCCGGGGAUAACACUGACGCUAAUGCACGAAAGCGUGGGGAGCAAACAGG